AUGUGGAUCAGGGGAACUCUUGAAGUCAGCUUAAGGAUGGUCCUGCCUUGGUCUGCACUCUUUAAAAGGUCAACAGGGAAACACAAACUCUGUGCACUGCGAAGAAAACAAGCUCAUAUUACCAAGUGUGAAAUUAGAACAAGCAUCUACAGGCUGAGAACUGGAAAAGACCCUCCCCAUCAUGGCGGAUUUUUACAACCAGUGGUGGAGAGUAACUGCAAACUAUAGCAUCUUUCUACUCAUCUUACCAAAAAAAAAGUUCAAAGAAGGUGUUCUACAAGGUCGGUGUUUGAGGCGGCUCCUGCUUCAUUAUGAUGCAGUGAAGACUGGGUCAUGGUGGCAUUACUAUGAACCUCGGAGAAGCCAGGCCUAAAGUCUACACCCAUACUUUUCUGUUGUGAAAGAUAAUCUUUUUGUUGUUGUUGUUGUUAAGCUAGUUUUACCUGGGUUUCCUGACAUUUGCAAUCAAACGAGUCCUCAAGGAAACCCAGAAAAAAUUUUCAGAAAAAUAAUUCAAAUAAAGAAACAAGCUAGUGUUUACA
rnacentral:lncRNA from 13 species